AAUGAGUCUAUGUUUGUGUGAAACACUGUAAUGUGAAUGGCAAUUCUGUGUCAAGAAUUCCAGUGAUUGGAAUGAGAGUAAUUGUGUGCUGAAAGCUGUGAGUGCACAAUAUUACAAUUGGAGAUUAUGAGGGUGAAUAUAUUGGUGGAAAUAGAAGUUAUUGGUAUGACUGAAUUGUUAUAAGGAAGAAAUCGAUAAGGUGAAGGAGGAGAUUAUAGUUUCCUUGCGGGUUUAGAU
rnacentral:lncRNA from 1 species